UAGUUGGUGGGGUAAAGGCCUACCGAGGCGACGAUCUGUAGCGGGUCUGAGAGGAUGAACCGCCACACUGGGACUGACACACGGCCCAUACUCCUACGGGAGGCAUCAGUGGGGAAUAUUGGACAAUGGGCGGAAGCCUGAUCCAGCCAUGCCGCGUGAGUGAAGAAGGCCUUAUGGUUGUAAAGCACUUUAAGCGAGGAUGAGGCUACUUUAGUUAAUACCUACAGAUAGUGGACGUUACUCGCAUAAUAAGCCCCGGCUAACUCUGUGCCAGCAGCCGCGGUAAUACAGAGGGUGCAAGCGUUAAUCGGAUUUACUGGGCGUAAAGCGCGCGUAGGCGGCUA
rnacentral:rRNA from 1 species